ACCAGAUAUCAUGCAUAUAAGAUGGGGCCUCUUCUUCUCACACUAUAUGGGGCGAGCUCCACUUUUUCUUUCUUUGAUUCUAUGAGAGAGAGAGAAGAUUAUAUAGAGAGAGAGGGUGGUGUGUUGCCUUUAAGGGGAGGGGGAGAGAGAGAGAGAGAAAUUGAUCUCAAGUCUAAGAGUUAUUGAGAAGACCCCCAUAUGUCAAAUUUUAUGGUUUUUUAGUGUUUGGCCAUCUUUAUGAGAUUCCAUCUAGAUCAUUGUCAAAGGUGACUUAUGAGAUGAUAGAUCUUAGUUAUACAAUCCAUAAAUCAACCAUCAUGAUUUAAUAGAACGUGCUAGAACCUUAUCUCUUAGUUGUGUUAACCUAAUCCCAUCAAAGAUUUAGUGUAAAGAAAAUAUGUUGCAUGUUUCUUUUUUAUUUUCAAUCAAUCUUCUACCCCUUCCUAUUUUGAAAACAACCAUCCUUGUUUCACAUAACAUUCCUUUUUGAUUUUCAAAUCACUA
rnacentral:lncRNA from 1 species